AAAAGAGCUUUUUUUUAAUUUAGCCCCUCUUGAAAAAUAUUUCACAAAUAGUAAUUAUAAAAUUGACCCUAUUCCUGCCACGCAAGCGUCAAAUAAGUGCUACGUUAGCGGCUUUGGAGGGUUAAGUUGCACACGAUAAAUGAAUCACCAUGUUGACGGCUAAAUAGUAUCUAAGUUCUGUAGUGCAGAAAAACUCAAAUAGUUCCGCAGUGCAGUUUAGCAUAAAUACGGUGAAUUAUUCAUCUUGUCUAAACACGAUGAAUGAUUUAUUGUGUUCAACUUAUACCACUACUUUAGUCAGUUGCUGACGUGGUGCUUACGUCGCGGGGAUAGGACUAGUUUUAUAAUUAUAAAUUUUGUGAGGUUAUUUAUGAAACAAAAAUUAGUGAGGGGCUAAAUGCAAAAGAAGCCUUCCUUUCUCGACUCUGCCCAUUUUUAUUAAAGUUACUAUUAUUUGUUAUUUAUAUACCCACUCUCUUCGUCGUCUCUCGAUCUCGAGCUCUUCUCUUUCCUUUUAAAACCCUAACACUCUCCAUCCCCGCACCAUUUCUCCUCCCCCCAUUUCUCCUCCCCGAUCCAAAUCCUAGCUCCAAAUCCAUCUCCUUCCUCCUCCUCCCCCAACUCCUCCUCCUCCCCUCCCCGGUCCUCUCAUUCCGAUCUCCCUGCGAUCUACGUAAUCCGAGGAUCCGAUUCAGCUAUCAAACCCAUCUGUUUAUCUCGAUCCCCUUCUCCAAUGGCGAGCUCCAAGCCCCAGCGGUCACCUGCCGAGGUCGAGGACAUCAUCCUCCGCAAGAUCCUCCUCGUCGCCCUCGUCGACCCCUCCGCCUCCGGCGGCGGCGGCGGCGGCGACCCCCGCGUCGUCUACCUGGAGCAAACCGCCGCGGAGAUCCUCAGCGAGGGCAAGCCCCUCCUCCUCUCCCGCGACUGCACCGAGCGCGUCCUCCUCGACCGCCUCUCCUACGGCGGCGGCGAUGGCCCCGCCGCCGUGGAGCGCCGGCCCUUCUUCUACCUCAUCGGCUGCUUCCGCCGCGCGCAGGACGAGGCCAAGAAGGUCGCCGCCAUGAAGGACCCGGCCGUGCGCGCCGAGAUCGAGGCCGCCAUCAAGCACGCCCGCAAGCUCGUCGUCUCCUACUGCCGGAUCCACGUCGGCCACCCCGACAUGUUCCCGUCCUCGCCCGCCGCCGCCUCGCCGGCAUCCGAUCUCCUUUCUCUGAUCUUCUCCGAGGUCUCCGGCCCGACGGACGUGUUCGCCGGGAACAGCUUGGCCGGGGACCUCAAAAGCCCUCCCGGCUUCUUAGACGAGUUCUUCAGAGAAGCGGAUUCGGAGAGCUUGGAGCCGAUCAUGGGGGAGUUGUUUGAUAAGCUGAAGCAGAGUGUGGAGAAGGUUUCUGCUUUAGGGAACUUCCAGCAGCCGCUGCGAGCGCUGCUUUUGCUCGUGGGAUACCCGAAUUGUGCCAAGGCUUUGGUGAAUCACCCACAUUGGAUUCCAACGGAUAAGUAUAUAUUGAUCGGGGAAGGGCGGAUGAUUGAAAUCGGAAGCAUUCUCGGAGCUUUUCUUCACGUUAGCGCUCUGCCCGACUACAAGGAGUUCAAGAGUAAGCCAGAUGUUGGGUAAGUUUUACAUUACAGUGUAUAGUUUGUUCUCUAAUUCAUUUUUUAUUUCUAACUUUUAUUAUCUUGCAAUAUUAUCUUUCAAUGUUAUAUUUUUCUGAACUUGGAGGAUGUUGGAACAAAUCCAGUGCUAACUUGUACUUUAUGGCAUUUUUCUGUUGCCAUUGCAACCUAUGAUUUUUGGUUUUCGUCUAUUGACAGUUUCUCGGAAUCAAGAAUAUUUUAGGAUAACGUAUUCCAACUGCAGAGUGAUUUACAAAAUUCACAGAGAGAGAAUUUAGAGGCUGUAUAUAUUAAAGAGCAUUCCAUACAUCUUUUCAUACUCUCCGCCAUUCAAUUUUUGCAUCUACCUAGAGUGAACAAAAGAGAUAUUCUGAACAAGGCAUUCAUGCAUCAAAAUGUGCCCUAAAUUUUUCCAGUUUCUUUCUUAUUAGUAACUAUGAUUUGAAAUUGCCUUAUGGCUACAAGGUCAUCACCUCUAUUAACGUACUCGUUGACCUAAAAGACGGCACUAAAUUUUCCUAAACUUUCUUUCUUGUUGGUAACUAUAAUUUAAAACUGCCUUAUAUCUGUAAGGCCACUACUGCUAUUGAUGCACUCUUAGACCUAAAAGACUCUGUUAAUGCUAAGCACUGCCUACGUGGCAACAAAUUGUCAUAAUCAAUGCCAUAUAUGAAUGGAUGAGUCAGUAGCAGUUAGAGAAUGAGAAAAAUGCAUAUACAGGAUUUGUUGGUUUGUUGAGAUUCAGCCGGCGUUGGAGUCUGGUCAAGUGUUUCCUUUACAAAUGGCUAGGUUGAAUGAGCUAAAAUCUAGGAGCUAAAGUGUUUCCUUUACUUUGCUUAUUACCUACAAAAAAAGGAUAGAUACUUGAUUGAGCAGGAUAAAUAUUCAAUGUGAGAUUUGAAUUGCACCAACUAAUACUUUUUUUUUUACUUGUUAUCUAUGCACAAACAGUCAGUUGUACAAAUAGUCAGUCAAAAAUUAACAUAUUUUAAAAAUGGCACCCUGGAAAACGAAGGGUCUGAAAUUCUUCAUGCAGUUAACUAUUGGCACUUUUUCUUCAUAUUCUCUUUCUUAUCCUGUUCACCUUCUGCAAUUGCUUAUAUCAAAUGUUAUCAUCUCUUUGAUGCCAAUUAAUAGGAUUUGUUGAAGUCUUAAUUAGUUGUGUGCGCUUUGUCCAUAAGGCACAACAAUUGGCUAACAGAGACCCUUCUGAGACUACAGAGAAAAUUUGUUACUUAAGCCUAUUUUUACUGUAUCAAUAGUGCCAACUCCCAAUCCUUUCUCAAUAUCCUAUUUUUAGUCUUAUGUGGUUUUUGGAUCUUUUUUCUUGCAUCUAUUUAAAAAAUUGUUUCUUUUUUCCUAAAUUAAUUUAACAGCCAACAGUGCUUCGCAAACGCAUCAACUCGCCGACCUGCUGAUCUCUUAUCAUCGUACACCACAAUCAAGACAGUCAUGAAUAUACUGUAUGAUGGUCUGGCAGAAGUUUUCCUUACAUUAUUAAAAAAUACAGAUACACGAGAAAAAGUUCUAGAGUUUAUAGCAGAGGUGAUUAAGAAAAAUGCAGCAAGGUCUCGUAUGCAGGUAAUCGUUUAACCUUUUGUUUUUUUUUUUUUCCUUUUGCUUGACUAUAAGCCUUUCUCAAAAACAUAAUCACGCCACAGGUGGAUCCAUUGUUAUGUGCAAGUUCUGGGAUGUUUGUGAAUCUUAGUGCAGUAAUGCUUCGGCUUUGUGAACCUUUUUUAGAUGCAACAGCAUCAAAGAGGGAGAAGAUUGACCCACAAUAUAUAUUUUACAACAAGCGUUUAGAUUUUAGGCAAGUCUUUUUUAGCUAUCUUGUCUCUUUUGUAUUACUGAAUAUAGUGAAAUAAUUGUUUUUCUCUCUAUUUCUAUGGAGCAGCCAAUUGGUCCCUGAACUAUAUUUCUUGUUGAUUAAGUCUUGAAAGUCUUAAUAACUUGUCUGUUUGGGCCAAACAGUUUUAAACUUCAUCUUUGUUCCGUAAGCUAAAUUAGUUAAUAAUACAAAUGUAAAUUAUCUAUUACUUUAUUAUCUUCAUUUGCUUUUACUCAUCACAUUGGAAAAUGGAAUAAACUUGUACAGUAAUACAUCAAUGGACCUAUUUAUCAAAAUAUGAUGAAAUAAGUAAAUAAGUGUGUUAUGGACUUAAUUGGUAACCUGGAUAGUUUAGGGACUAUUGGUAUCUCUAUGAGAGUCAAGGACUAACAAAAUAAUUUAACUCAUUGUUGAUUUACAUGUUUCUUCUCAGUGAGCUAAUUAAAUUUUUUACAUUAGACAAUUGACAGCGAUGAAUGCUUCGUCCGAAGAAGUUGCAGCAUGGAUCGAGAACCAAAGUCAUAAUUGUCGUCUCAUAGAAUCACAGGAAGCUACAAGUUCUGGCAAUAAUAGUGGAGCUUCUUUACUUACAAAAGGCAGACUACUUAUGAGUUGCACCAAAAAAGAAAAAUAUUCAUUUAUCUGCGAGUCUUUUUUUAUGACAACAAGAGUACUCAACUUGGGGCUUAUGAAAGCCUUAUCGGACUUCAAACAUCUUGUUCAGGUGUGAAUGCAGUCACCUUGUUUUUCUUCAGUUUGCUUAUAUAGCUGUAUUAAAUCCUCUUAUAUUGAUGAUGUAUAUGUUUUAUGACUUUGAUCUCCAAUAAGUUUUCAUGCUUUUUAUUACUUAAGAAGCACUCACUAUAAUGGUUGGGAUUUCAAGUCCUGAAGAAGCACUUACUAUUGUUAUUUACUAAUUCGGUGAUGGUAUCUAUUAGCAAAUAUUAUCCUGGCAAACCAAUAUUGGUGUUAUCGUGUCCUGGAGUUGGAUUAUAUAUAUUAUUUACUAAUUAGACUGUUACCUUUUGAUCUACUUCAUAAAUAGUAGCUGUUGUGUAAUUAAAUUGUAGGAGCUGGCAAGGUAUGAAGAAGAACUAUCUACAUGUAAAGCCAUGAGGGAUCAGGGAGCCUCGCCGCAACUUGAGGAAGAUAUAAAACGACUUGAGAAAGUGAUUGAGAUUCUAUCACAAGAUAAACUCUGCUAUGAAGCUCAGAUAUUAAGAGUAUGCUCUUCCCACUGUUCAAGAGUUUUUCACUUUCAUAGUGGCAUUUCGGUGAUAUUGAGUAUGCUUUACCUACUGAUUGAGAGUUAUUAAUGGUGGCACUCCAUUGCUUUACGUAUCACACUCAAAUCCCAUCUUCCAUUUAUAUCUUUCUAGGUAGAGGUACUUCUUUGUUUUUCUUUGUUUUUGACAUUUAGUGACCUGUUUCUUCAAUAUUCAUUAUAUAAUUAUUGACAGCUUGUCAUGUAAUUACUGCUUUGUCAUGCUUGUAUAUUCUGUUUAUCAUGAAUCACCUACCUGAAUGGUACAAGGCUUUUGUGGUUCCAAGAAAGAAGUACCAAGCUAUAUAAUAACUAGAAUUUUACCGGCAAAGAUGAAGACAUUAAAUAUAUUAAAUUAUUUGUUAGCAUGUGUCUCUGAAGUGAAGGACAUGAAGAACAAGUUAGCUAAUAUUGUUUUUUGUAUAUAUAAUUUUCAAGCCCAUUGAGACUUGCUCCAUAACAAUUCGAUGAAUCUAUUUAUACGUAAAAUUUUUAUUCAUUUUACAGGGUAAUUAGUCCCAUGACUCCCAUCUCAUUACGAUGUAGUUAUUGAAACAUAACUAUCUGAAUAAUGCUAAUGCUGCAUUAUACGAACAUAGAAUGCCUCCUUGUGGGUUUUUAUAUGCUGUGGUGAAGCAGUCUGUUCAGAAAUAAAUUUAAUAUAAGGAUAAUAUAUUAAACCUAAGGUCUUAAGAUAUAUACUUUGGAAUUUGGUGUCUACAGGAAUCCAUGGUGGCAAAUCCUAUCUUGUAUCUGCUCCUCUUUCUUGAUUGUGGAUUGAGAUAGUAAUGUCAAAGUACUGAAAUGUUCAGCCUAUUUAUUUAAUAUGGAUAUAUCUUUUGAUACCGGUUUAUCCAUAUUUAUUUGUAUGAGCAUUCAUGAAUGUGAUGCUACUCACAUAUAUGUCAUUUUUGAUCGAUAUAUCAUAUGAAUAGAUAGGGGUUCAGAAUAUAAACUACAAAGGCAAACAAAAACUCAUUCAAUUGUUAUGCAAGAUAAUCGAAGUGCAGAGAUACAAAUUUAAAGGAAAGAAUACCUCAACCUAUACGUACAAGAUUAUCAGACGAUGUAAGAGGUCUGGAUUUUAGUCUGGUAUGUAAAAUCCAAAGUCAAUAGCUGAUGACGCUUGGAUAUAGAACCCUGAUGGGCUCAAUAAUGUUGGACCUAUUAUGGUUUCUGUUUCUAUUACAUAUGAGAGUUAUUCCAAUUGAUUUUAGGUUAACUGCUCAACUAAUGCCUGCAAAUAAGUUAUUUAAUGGGUUUAGUCAAAAUUAUUCACUGAUUUUUUUUUUUUUUUUUCAUGAGAAUAUCAACCUUGUGCAUACUGUGCCUUCUGGGUUGUGUCUUGUUAAUCUGCAUUUUCCUUUUUCUUCAAUACUUUAAUUUUGUAUAUGAUCAGCACAUUUGGGUAAGGUAAUUCUUUAAGCUAUUGUAUAGAUAGUUAUGGUGAUCUUUGUAUAUACAUUUUCAUCAUUAGCGCACAUCACAUGCAUAUGUGUAUCCUUACAAGUAGCUGCCAAUUUAUUGGUUGAUAGCAUGCUGCAUCUAAUUAGUUUUUGUUAUCCGAAGGAUGGUGCGCUUCUUCAACGAGCGCUAUCCUUUUACAGAUUAGUAAUUAUAUGGAUGGUUGAUCUUGUUGGUGGAUUUAAAAUGCCUUUGCCACCAAAGUGCCCAAUGGAAUUUGCUUGCAUUCCGGAACAUUUUAUUGAUGAUGCAAUGGAUUUACUUAUUAUAACUUCUCGGAUUCCACGAGCUUUAGAAGGAUUUGUGCUGGUGCGUUUUCUUUUUUGACUUUUUCUAUUUGAUUUAUUCUUUGUUGCCUAUUAACUGUAGUGCAUAGAUACCUUGGGCAGGGGCAACCAAUGCAAAUAAUGAGUUUUUUUGUUGUGCAUGCAGUUGCUAGCUUUGCAGGGUAUUUGCACAAUUUUGAAUACUUGCAAGGGUUAUAUGGGGCAAAAAGAAUACUUGAAGCAAACUAAACAAAUACCCUGCUGAUCCGUGAUAUUUUAUUAUUCUUAUGGUUUUUUUUGUACUAAUCUUUUUACCAGGAUGACUUUUUGAAUUUUAUUAUCAUGUUCAUGGCAAGCCCAUCUUAUGUCAAAAACCCUUAUUUAAGAGCCAAGAUGGUUGAAGUAUUGAAUUGCUGGAUUCCGCAUAGAAGGUUGAUCGGUUAACCGAAUGUUAAUAUGUACAAUUUGUUUAGUUUAUAUUGUUGAGCUUAAGACAACUCUAUUGUCUAACUAUUGCAGCGGCUUAUCCACCACAGCCUCUCUCUUUGAAGGGCACCAAUUAUCUCUUGAGUAUCUUGUUAGAAAUCUUUUAAAGCUUUAUGUGGAUAUUGAAUUUACUGGUUCUCAUACACAGGUGGGUGCUAUGUUUAACAUCAGGUUGUUUAUUUACAUUAUUUCCGAGUUUUUAACAGCAAAGUUAUCUAUCCACAUGUAGACAUAUCGCUGCAAAAUCUUAAUUAUCACAUUGGCCUUUAAUAGGUUUAAUUAAUAAGCUUAAUAUAUAUAAUGUCUUCAUACCAAAGUAGCCCUCUUUAAAAACUUUUUCUAACAAUAAACCAACUUCAGCCAUGAACUGCGUUGUGAAUGUGUAUGUUCACCCGUGUAUGUGCUUGCGUGUGUGUCUGCAUGCACGCAUUUUGUGCCCACUUUGGGAAUUGGGGUGAUUUGUGAAAAGAGGUUUGGAUUUCGUUGGUCUACUAAUAAGCACCUUUCUUUGUACAGUUUUUUGACAAGUUCACUAUUCGGCACAACAUUGCUGAGCUUCUAGAAUACUUGUGGGAUGUUCCUAGUCACAAUAAUGCAUGGAGACAGGUGAGUGAGUCUUCUUUGUAGCACCCCUAGCAUCUUUGACACAUGCAAAAUUCCCGAAAUUCUCACUGUUUACUUAGCAUGAUACAAGUGCUAUUUCCUUUUAAUUUGCAGAUAGCUAGAGAAGAGGAAAAGGGAGUAUACUUGAAUUUUCUAAACUUUCUUAUCAAUGAUAGCAUCUAUCUUCUUGAUGAGAGUUUAAAUAAAAUUCUUGAGCUCAAAGAAAUAGAGGCAGAAAUGGCUAACACAACUGAAUGGGAACGCCGGCCUCCUCAAGAGAGGGAGGAGAGAAUGCGCCAAUUUCAUUCACGAGAAAAUGUAUGUUCAUUAUCAACUUCCAAGUUCGUAAAGUAGUUUUUUCUUCCAUAAAGAUAUCAAUUGCUCUAUAGGCUUGCGAUGAUACUCUAAGUGAAAAAUGGGAUCAAUUAACACUUCUGCAAAUUUUUGUUUCCAGAUUGUUCGAUUUGACAUGAAAUUGGCAAAUGAAGACGUAGGGAUGCUUGCUUUUACUUCAGAACAGAUUCCUACCCCUUUCCUUCUGCCAGAAAUGGUGAUGCAAUCCUUCUGCGUUUUUUAUCUUCAUUAGGUGCAGCAAAAUUUAACCGAACUUUUAAAACCUGCUAAGUUACUGAAUCCAGGGACGAAGUCCUAAACCAUUCCUGGACAGUUUUUUUUUCCACAUUAAAAUCCAGGUCGGAUCAGGGCUUUUACAAUUCUGAUGAUCUGGGUCAUUGUUUCCUGAUUUCUGAGGGAGUUUAAGUUGCUAAAUAAAUUUAGUUAUUAUUAUUAUUUCAGUUCACCCCACGCUAUUAGUAUCAAUAUUGACACAUCAUGAUAAUAGGUGUGACUUUAUAAUAAUAAUAUACAUUAUAAUAGUGUUGAGCUAGAAUACUUUUGGAAGCAUCACAAAGAAGAUUCUUCCGCGUUUUCGCCUGUCGGAUGCGCUUCGUGAACCUUGCAGGUUCCGAUGCUUGUCCAUCUUAGUGUGCAUCAUAUGCCCACCAUGCUGAUGCGGGUUUGCGCAGAGAUUUAAGGGCAUCUAAUGUGUGCUUCCAAAAGUAUUCUAACUCCAUUGUAAUAUGCACUGGCCAGUAAAAUCUUUGUUGAGGGUGAUGAACAUCUGAAACUUGGAGAGUUAUACCAUUCCUUAGUGUUUGUUAGGGAGGCCUGGCGAAAACUUUAAAAAUGCUUAUUGCCGCUUCCAAAGGUAUUCUAACUCAACUCCACUGUAAUAUGCAGUGGCUAGUAAAAUAUUUUUUAAGGAUGAUGAGCAUCUGAAACUUGGAGAGUUAUACCAUUCCUUUGUCCAUGUUAGUGAGGCCUGGCAAAAACGUUAAAAAUGCUUAUUGCGGCUUACAUUUUGGUUUGAUACAUCUAUUUUUAUACGCUUCUAGUACUGCAUCGUCCUAAUUCCUAUCACUAAUGUUUACUUUCAUUGUUGUAGGUCGAAAGAGUAGCAAGCAUGCUAAAUUACUUCCUGUUACAACUUGCUGGGCCCCAGAGGAAAUCUCUGAGUGUAAAAGAUCCCGAGAAAUAUGAGUUCAGGCCGAAGCAAUUACUGAAACAAGUUAGUUUCUGUCAAAUCUCAAAAUGCUUUUGAGCUUUUAUUCAUCAUCUUAUUCCAUUUAUAAAUUAGAGGUGGAUAUAUAUAUAUAUAUAUAUAUAUAUAUUGUAUUCUAAUGAAGAUUAAUCUUGUACUCAUGUGAAGAUUGUCAAGAUUUAUGUUCAUAUAUCAAGAGGCGACAAAGAGAACAUCUUUCCUGCGGCAAUCUCAAAGGACGGCAGGUCAUAUAAUGAGCAGGUGUAUCCUACAUGCUAAACAAUUCUUUUAUCGGCUAAAUGUAUGGACAUCUCCUAACUGUCUUUCAUUUGGAAACAACUCCCUAGUCCUUUUCCUUUAGGGAUUUGGAUCCGUAACUGAAGUAAAUUGUUUGAUUUUAGAAGACUCUGUCAGAAUAUAAUUGUUUCUGUGAUUCUGUUGAUAAAAUGUUCUUUGAAUUGAUGGAAUACUCGCUGACUUCUUUGAUAGAAACAAUUAAGUCUGAUGAAACUUGACUGAAAUCAACCAACAUGUUGGUAGGCGGAUCAAAUGCAAAAUAUGAGAUUUCAGGAAUCUGUAUACAGAAUGAUAUAUAGUUAGGAGGAGAUUGUCCAUAAUUUUUUUUUAUCUUAUGUGUAAUAUUCUGCUGGCUGACGUGGCCUUUAAAAUACUGCAGCUGUUCUCUACAGCAGCUGAUAUUUUGUGGAAAAUUGGAGAGGAUGGAAAAAUUAUCCAGGAGUUUGUGCAGCUUGCAGCUAAAGCGAAAGCUGCAGCUUCUGAAGCAAUGGAUGCUGAAGCUAUUCUCGGCGACAUACCAGAUGAAUUCCUUGACCCAAUUCAGGUACUUCGAUUCUUCUAUAGGAUAGCACUUUUAUGCACAAACAAGUGUACCGAUCUGUUCCAUUAAUAUAAAAAGGUAGUCCAUGUUUUUUAUUUUCUGCUCAUUUUUUUUUAUCCAAUCAUUUUUCAUGUGAUUUUAUUUGAUAAUUAGUUAAUUCGACUAUAGCUCAGUAGUUUGUUGUUCUUCAAUUUAAUGUGGCAUACCUGCACAAUCCUAUGCUGCAGUACACGUUAAUGAAGGAUCCUGUUAUACUACCAUCGUCGAGGGUAUCAGUUGACCGAGCAGUUAUCCAAAGGCACCUCCUUAGUGACAGUGUAAGUCCUUUAUGUUUUUCUAUAUCCAGUACUCUCAACAGGUCGAGUGUUAAUAACUCAAGCAAGUAUCUACAAAUUAUACAUACGCUUACUGCAUUUUACCCCGUCAAUGUGAAUAUUUUCACAUGUAGCUUCAGAAUCUUAUUUCCUACAUGUUAUAUCCCUAUUCGUACAAAAUAGUGACCUUUUUUUUUUUUCUCCCAAAUGAAGAACCAACUUUCCCUCGUGAUUUUGAUGAUUCUUCGAGUUAAAGAGCAUUUUUAUAAUAAACUUCGUUCACGAGGAUCAUAAAUUAAAGGGAAAACUUCAAAUACCCCCCUUGUGGUUUCACUUUUUUUCACUUUAGUACCUUGUGGUUUAAAAUGUAUCAAGUUAGUACGCUGUGGUUUCUCACUUUAUCACUUUAGUACCCUGUGGUUUAAAGUGUAUCAAGUUAGUACCCUGUGGUUUUGCAUUUUAUCACUUUAGUAUCUUGUGGUUUCGCACUUUAUCACUUAGUAUCCUGUGGUUUAAAAAACCACAGGGACUAACUUGAUACAAAAAUAAAACCACAGGGUACCAACUUGAUACAAAAAUAAAACCAUAGUAUUCUAACUUGAUACACUUUAAACCAUAGGGUACUAAAUUGAUAAAGUGAGAAACCACAGGGUACUAACUUGAUACACUUUAAACCAUAGGGUACUAAAAUAAAAAAGUGUGAAACCACAGNNNNNGGGAGGGGGGGGGGGGGUUUGAAGUUUUCCCUAAAUUUAAAUUCAUUUUUUGGAUGAUUAUAAAUUAUGAGAUUGAAAUGCACCGUCUCAUUGCAGACCGAUCCAUUCAACCGUUCACACCUCACACAGGAUAUGCUAAUCCCCGACACAGAGCUUAAAUUAAGGAUCGAAGAGUUCAUCCGAGCCCAAGAAUCGAGGAAGCGCAGCAAAACAAGCGGCUUACAAUUCUCCAAACCUAACGAGCCAGAUGAUGGUGUUGCUGAUAUGGUCGAGUAAGUUAAAAAGUGCUAGCACUUAUAUUUAUAUGUUAAGUUUAAAUGUAAAAAUAUUUCUUGGGGAUUAAAUCAUGAAUGCCUGGGCUAGAAAUGGAUAGGGGCAACUUGGGGGGUAUCAAUUCUCACAUUUUACAUUUUAAUACCUCUUUAAUCCAAUAAUCCUUCUCCAUUGUUGUGGUGUUGAAGCAACAAAAAAAAAAAAAUUGAUGUUGUAAGGUGAAAAAUUGAUGUUGUAAGGUGAAAAAAAAAUGAUCAUACUUUUGUUAAUUAUUCUGUACUUUACUGUUAUAUAUACAUACAUUUGUAUAAAAUUGUUGGAGCUUUUAGUUAUUUGUAUCUGUAUAUAGAUAUUUCUCUUAUUUCUCUCUUUAGCUUUGCUAAUCUCUCAAUUGUGAAAUUGGAGUUGUGUUCUAGGAAUUUUGUUUUUUUCUCACUUUGGUUUAAAUUUUAGUAAAGUGAAAGGUGCAUUGUUCUUGAGAAAUUGAUUGUGUUUAUUAGACAAUGAGUUGCCCUGUUGAACAUAUUUUCUAUUUUUCUCUAGCAAGAAAUUACAUAACAAGGAAACUGCAAUCUUAUGAGCCUUGCAUUGUGGUUUAUAUCUUCUCCAAUAAAUGGAUUAUAUGAAAUAGUUAUAAGACUAAUUAUUAUCAAAUAAACUCAUUUACAAUGCCUCUUGUGUGCUAGUAUUCUACUGUAGAAAGUUGGGAUGAAUCUUUUCUACUAAAUCUAUAGAUAUCUAUGAGGGAUCAUUGGCUAGAUUACCUUUUCAUGUAUGGGGCUAUAAUUGUAGGAUUUGAAACAUUUUGAAGAAUGUCUAUGUGAAAAGUCUAGUUUGGUAAUGCAGUGGCUAAAAAUAUUAUUUUAUAUACUUCAAAAUUUUGUAAAGUUAUAAAAUUGUAGAAUGCUUUUAAUUUUUAUUUUCCAUGUUAUAAAAGUAUGGUUGCAAUUGCUGAUUAUAUGCUUCUUUGGUGGUAGUUAAAAUUCUUUUGGGCCCUUUGAAGGUAUGAUAAACAUAUUGUUAUUAGUCGUAUCAAACUAGUCCUUAAACCAUACACAUUGAAUAUACCAUAUUGCGUUAAUAAAUGAUUUAGUUUCACUAUAACUUUAACUCACGGUAAUCCUGCAGAGUGCUUGGGGAUGUCAACGGGUCAGGUUCAAGGUGGGUUUUCAAAAAUCUGAAUUUGAAUUCCGCUACCAAAAUUAAAAUCUGAAUCUGAAUCCGUCUGGUUUUAAAAAUUUAUAUCUAAAUUCAAAUCCAAGAAAACAACUGAAGCUCAAAAUUGGAUCCAAAAUUCCAAAUCUGGAAGCAAUCUUCUUUUUUUUUUUAAACCAAAAUUUGAGAUAUAUUAUAUUCAAAUUAAAUUUCAAAGUAUAAAUUCAAAUAUUUAUAUAUUAUAAAUAUAAAAUCGGUUCGGGUUCGGGUUUGGGUUUCGAUCUUGUACCAGUAAAAAUUAUACAUGAAUCCAAAUUUAUCCAGUUUUUUUUAAAAAUUUGUUUAUACUUAUGAACAAAAUCAUACUCCUUUAACAACGAUUAAUCCACCCGGUUCAGAGUGGAAUUUGAAUAAAAUCGCAGAUACCAUACUCAUGAACUGCAUCCUCAAAUUAGAAUUAGUUAGAUACUAACUAAAUUCGGGUUGACUUCGACACCAUCCAAGUUAAAAACAGCAAUAUCUAAAUUGGAAGUGCCUUCUCUUAUUCUUAUUCUUUUUUUUUUUUUCUUUUUUGGUUGGUGCUCCUACUGUUCAUAUUUUUCUCAUCUUAACUAAAGCUAUAUAUAUAUAUNAAAUUUUGAAAAAAUCGAGUAGUUGAUUCAAAAUGGUCGACAGUCCAAUUGAGUUAUGUAAGUUUUACUAAAAUAUUACCAAAGAAGGAUGUGACUUUUUAAAUUCUACAUAUUCUUUAAGUUUGUUUUUUAAGGAUGAAUUCUAUCUUAUAUGUUCUCAAAAAUUUUAUCAAAUUCUCAUAAAUUAAUUAAAAUCUUAUUAACUAGCUAUUCCAAAAAAAUGAAUUAAGAAAUUCAAUUAUUUAAAAGUUGUAAAAGUUGAGGUGGCAAAAUUGAACAUUUAAAAAGAUAAUAAUAUAUAUGGUCUUUAGCUUUUGGCUUGGACGUAGUGGACCAGGUCCAGGAGAAAUUCCUACAAUGGUGUCCACUGGCGUGUCGGGGUGGGGAAGAGGGAACGAACACCUGGUGUGCCACAGCCCACACCUGCCACGUGGCAAAGAUUCUGAUAACUACUGCAGUAUAAUUUAUUCUACUACUAGUUCACAUCAAUAUUUCAAUUUAAAUAAUUAUUAGCGAAUUUAAAAAAAAAAAAUUAGAGAUUCAAUUUUUCUCCGGAAAUGAGAAUCAAAAUAUCAAACUCUCAAAUCUAACACAACAAUAUAUAUAUAUAUAUAUAUAUAUAUAUAUAUAUAUAUAUAUAUAUAUAUAUAUAUAUAUAUAUUCUCUGGUAAGACUUAUCCCUAUCGUUUUGUUGAAAUUGUGUAACUUCCUUACCUAGGCUAAAAAAUCGUGACAUGAUUAUAAAAAAAUUAGACCGCAGAAAUUUAUACCCAAAUGAGUUACCUAAUACUAUAUGCAAAUAAUUUUUUUUUGUUUUGAAUUUUAGAGACAAAAAAAUAAAAUAAAACAAAAUGCGACAUAAAUGUUGAUACAAUUUUUAAUACGACAGCGCAAAAUGACCAAAUGCAAUGCCAAAAUUUUUUGCAAUUAAUAAUCCUUUUUUAAUUUCAGCCGGAAAUUUGUUUUAUUUUAUUUUAGUUUUAACUUUAAUUUUGAAAUAAAUAAAUAUUAUUAUUAUUAUUAUUAUUUUUUAAUUCCGCUUUCCCCUCCCUCCCCCAAUCCCCCAAAAGGAAAUGGAAAAAGCAAAAGCAAAAGCAAAAGCAAAAGCAAAAAGGGGAUGAAAUGGAGUACGAUAACAACAACAGCUUCUCCGAGAAGCAGAAGCCGCAGCAGCAGCAGCAGCAGCAGCAGCGCCACCACCAUCUCCAUCUCCAACCCCUCUCCCUCUCCGCGUGCUUCCGCUCCUGCUCCUCCUCCUUCUCCUCCUCCUCCUCCGCCGCCGGCGACGACGAUCGCCCCCCUCUGAUCCGGUCCCCGUCCACCUGGCUCCGCUCCAAGCCCCACCACCACCACCACCUCCUCCUCGCCUCCUCCUCCGCCGCCGCCGCCGCCGGAGGCAGACACCGCCGCCGCCGCUCCGCCGACUUCAGGUACGACCCCGUGAGCUACGCCCUCAACUUCGACGACGACGACGGCGACCACGUCGCCGGCGCCGACGGCGCCGACCCGGGGUUCCGGUGCUUCUCGUCCCGGCUCCCCCCGUCGCCGCCGCCGCCGAAAUUGGGGGCGGCGGCGGCCCCGCGCAAUAAGGCCAAGGGGAAGGAGGCCCCCCUGUGACGUGGUGAGGUCGCCCGACCUAAUCGGUCGAGAAAGAUUGGAUUUUGAUUGCUCGGUUUGGGGUGAUUUGCUUUGAAUAAUUGGGGGAUUUUGUGGAAAUUUGUUGUUUUGUUUUCUUCGUGUUGGGGUUGCCAUUUGUUUGAAUUUUUCGAUAAUCAUGAGAGAAAUUCUCACAUGGAAAGAUUCAAGUGUCUUAUUCUGCUUCUUCUUCUUUCUCCAAUUUUAGGGUUUGGGAUUUGUUGUCUUGUGGUGAAAAGAUUGUUCUUUUCCCUCUUAUUCUUUCUAAUUGUAUGUAAAUAAAUCUUUAAAUAAUGAAUCAUGUUGAAUGAGAAAAGAUUGUUGUUUGAUUUCUGAGAAACCAAUGCAUGUUCUGGCAACGAAAAAAAAAAAAAAACAAAAAAAGAGAAAAGAUCUCAAUUUAUAGGCCAUUUCGAUCAGGAAAUUCCAAAUUGUUUUUUGUUGUUGUUGUUGUUUUUUUUUUAAAAGCACAGUUGUUUCUUCAACUUUUGUUUGCUUCUGAUUGUGACAUAGUUAAUGAUGAUGAAGAGGUUGUUGCUUGGUUUUUGUGAGAAACCAAUUCAUGUUCUAGCAAAAGAAAAAAAAAAGGAGAAAAGUUCAAUUUAUCGGAAAUUUGAAUCAGGGAAAUCCAAAUUGUACAAAUCCUUGUAGGGUUUCAGACUUUUCUUUUUCUUUUUCUACUUUUUGCCAAUUUGUUUCGUAAACUUUUGUUUGCUGUAAUUGUGUGUAAAUCUUGAAUUAAUAAACAUAUUAAAUGACGGUGAAGAGAUUUUUCCUUGGUUUUGUGAGAAACCAAUUCAUGUUCUGACAAAAAAUGGCUCAAUACAUACGCAAUUUGGAUCAGGAAAAUCCAAAUUGUACAAAUCCUUUUAGCGUUUCAGAUUAUUAUUAUUUUUUUUAAAAAGCUAUUUCUUUAACUUCUGUUUGCUUCUAAUGGUGAGUAAAUCUUAAAUUAAUAAAACUUAUUCAAUGAUGAUGAAGAGAUUGUUGUUUGGUGUUGUGAGAAACCAUUUCUCAUGUUCUGGUGCAAAUAAAAUGAAAAAAAAAAAAAAAACAAGAAGAAGCUCAAUUUAUUAGCAAUUUGUAUCAGGCAAAUCCAAAUUGUUCAAAUCUUUUUACUUUGCAUUUUGCUGUGUAUUGAUUAUCUAUAUUUCAUAAUAGAAGGAAUGCUGGGAGAGAGAAGGUCUCUCUGAGCUUCUGAGGAUUCCGUGUUGACAAAUUUGUUUAAUAUUUAUGUGCAAAAUUUUUAUUUAAAAUCUGUCCAAUGUACAAUUUUUAUUUAAAUAUCACACUUCUUCUUAAUAGUGUCUUAAUAUAAGGCACCAAAUGCACAUAAUAACAAUAAAAUCCAAUUUAUCAAGUGCGUCGAUGAACGAAUAGUUACUAAGUCACUAGUAUUAUGCUUACACUUCGGAUUCUGAAGAACUGAAAUUUUGUGGGAUAUCUCAUAAUACAAAUGAUUCCCAUCCAAUUUCUCAUGAUUUGAGAUCUGAGCAUUGAUAUUUGCUCAAAGUGCCUCUUCUUAAAAUAGUUAGACCAAGGAUAAAUUGGGAGAACAGAUACAUUGAAAUUACUUCUCAUUUGUCGCCAAACAAUAAAAUAGAAUAGGCUUCAUCAACUCAGUUGGACAACAACAUAUUCCAAACCGAAGUUUUCAUUUCUAAUCAAAUUCGACUAAAUUUCAAAAAAAAAUUUAUCUUGAUUUGGUUCCAAAUAGGGUGCCAAGCCAGGUAGCGUAAAUGUAAACUUGCUCCGAGUAAAUGUGAUAUUUGGAAAUGCCAAAGUUUUUUUUUUUUUUUUGAGAGAUAGCUAGCACGUUACCCGCUUCGUUUAUUUCAUUUAGAAAUAAACUUAGCUGGAAAUGUGAAUCAACUAGGAUUCGAACUUGGGUCUCGGGUACCAACCAUCAAGCCCUUUGCCACUUGCUCUAGGGACGGUCGGUGAAAUGCCAAAGUUUAAGACCAUAAUUUGGAGAGCAAUCCAUGUUGGUUCUUCUUUUUCUGAAAUGCACUGCUAACAGUUGAAGGGGCCAUUUUAUGGACUUGGUAACAUAAAAGGUGAUUGAUUCUCAGCGCAGCUCGUUGACGGGGUAAAAGAAGUAAUGUGCACAAUAUGACAGACCCAAAGCAGAUGCUCUGUAUGCAGCAGAGAGAGCGCGAAUGCGGGCUCGAUGCACCAGCACCUAGUGGAAGAAGAAUGGAAAAAGAAAAGAAAUGGAAAGAACAAGCUGCCGCCUCCGCCGCUGGCCGGGAAAGCAUGAAGGGCUCAUAGAAGAGGGCAUUGUUUUUCUUGUAGUACAAAUGUAUUUUCCUCUUUCUUUCUGGUUACUGACAAUUUUCUUGGUGUUCGAAAUUGCUUUUGGAAUGAAAUAAAUGUUCGACUUGGCUUUUGGAAUUGCUUCUCUUUACUCGAAACGCAGAAGCCAGUCGUUGGUGUAUAACAAGUUUAAAGGUUUUAAUCGUGGUGGGUAGGUGAAAUUUGCUUGUGGGCGCACAAUAUGGAAGCCCUAAUUAUAAACUUUUACUUUCUACUAGUUGUAGUGUAAGGUGUUUGUUUUUGGAGAUUUUAAAAGUGCUAUUAGUGUGCUUAUUUGAACAGCUUGCUCUUCAGGAUGAACUUACUUUGAUUCUCCUUGAAGCAGGAUGGAUGUAAUGGUUGAUAACACAAAAACAAAAGAGAUUGGAAAACAUUUUUUAUUUUUUAUUUUUUAUUUUUUAUUUUUAUUUUUUUGCGAGUGAAAUGGUUGUAAUGGUUUGCUGUUAGAGCGUGUUUGUUUGAUUGUCGAAAGUGGAGAGGGAUGAAGUGAUUUUUAGCCGUAGGAUGUCUACUUUUUGUGCCUGGUAGUGGCAGCAGUAAGAAACUUUUGCUUCUAACUAUGGCAGAAAGAUCAACCGUCCCUGGAGCAAGUGGCAAAAGAUUUGGUGGUUGGUACCCGGACCUAAGUUUGAAUUCAAGUUGAUUCACAUUUUCAGCUAAAUUUAUUUCUAAAUGAAGUAAACGAAGUGGGUAGUGUACUAUCUCUCUCUCAAAAAAAAAAAAAAACUACGGCAGAAAGCUUGUAAGUGAUUUUCAUGAGAAAGUUACGUUUAGGCCUACAAAUCUGGUUAUCUCUUUGCUCACCCCUCAUUUUGCUUUGCAAUGUGCUGUAUAUAUCCAGAGAAAUGUUUUUCACAAGGGGGGUGUGGUAGGGAUGUAAAACGGGCCGGGUCUAGACACGGCACGGUUACUGUAGAAUCCGUGCCAGGCCGGCCUGAUCCGGCAUCACGGCCGUGCUGGGCCACUUGAACUGAGCCACAUCGUUCGGCAAGGUACGGCCCGUUACGACUCUGGGCCGUGGCUGUCGGGCCAUCACGGCCCGUCCUUGGGAUUUGAGGAGCCAACCUGAAAAGUUCUAGGCCCUUCCUGGAACUCACAGAAGUUUCCGGGCAUUUAAAAAAAAACUAUAUAUUUUUCUAAAAGUUUAAAAAUUUUAAAUUCUUUUAAAAUUUAUUACUUUAUAUAAAUAUUUUAAUAAAUUUUAUUUCUUUAAUGCUACUAUAUUAAGAAAGGAAAACCAUUUUAAUUUUUUUUUUAUUUUUUAUAUGUAUAUUUUUUAAAAAAAUUAAAGGGCUGGUCCGGAGUCCGGCCAGGCACGGCACGGCACAGGCCGUGCCAUUCGCGCAGGAGGGCCGUGCUGGUCCGGGCAUUCAAAAAAUCUGGUACGGCCCGGCCUAGAUUCUAACCAGCCGGGCCGGGCCGGGCCGGACCGACCUCUGCCCGAUCUGGCCCGGUUGAAUGUGGGCCGUGCCGGAUUUAAACCCCUAGGUGUGUAUGGGCAAAAUGGAGGUUUUCGGGGUCAGGUGUGAAUAGCAACCUUGCAGUAUAUGUAAAGAGCUAAAAAUUAAAAGAUUAAAAAAAAACAAAACUAAAAUUUUUUUUUUUUGCUAAACUCAGUACUCAAAUGUUAGUUUUGAUUCCAGGCACCAAAAUCCCUUAAAAAAAAAUCUGGAUUUUCGGAAGCAUUAAUAUUAAGGAAUGAUUUGUCGAAAAUGCUCGAAAAGCUGAAUCUCCAGUUUGCUCUUCUUGGGGCUUGUUUGUUCCGACGAGCUUUGUAUGGAAGUUCUAUUUGAGUAGAGCUACUUAAAAAACCACCAACAAUCUUUUUACUAUAUUCGAAAACAACUUCAAAAAAAAUCUUAGGAUUAAUUUCAUACAGGAUUUUGCAAACAUAAUGAAUUACAAAUAUAUUUCUACAAACUUCAGCUUUCAUAUAUUGUCUCUGCAAAAAUUCUAAUAUUUUCAAAUAUGGCCUUACCGUUAGAAUCCGUUAGAAAACUUUAGUUAAUCAUAGAUUAAAUGCUUAACCCGGUUAGUUUAUGAGAUAACUCGACAUUUUAGCCCCUCUUAUAUUAUACUUUUGUGGCUUUCGAAAAGACAUAUUUGUGGCGGCAAAAAUGACUUUUUUACUUAAAAUAUAAACAGUUAUAUAAUGGUAACAAAUAAGAAGAAUAUAUUUGAAAAUAUUAGAACUUUUGCAAAAACAAUAUAUAAAAGCUGAACUUUGUAGGAAUAUAUUUGCAAUUCACUCUGUUUGUACGGUGUAUGAAUUUAACCCAAUCUAAUCUUGCUGCAACAGAAACAAAAGGAGCUUCUUGAUUCUUGGGCACAGAACCUCGUUUCAGCUUUUCACCAUAAUAAAAGCUCUGGACCUCACACAUAAUAAGAUCUCUGGGGAUCAAUUCAUAGAAUCCACAUAAUGGGUUGGACAAUGGAAUCGAUAAUAAUAAGAUAAAGGGUGUUACAAGGAAACUCAAUAACAAUCAAUAGUAAGAUCCAAGGGAUUACAUAUAAACUCAAAUUGUCUUAUGCUUCUCCUUUUCUUCUUCUUUGUCGUCGUAAUCGUCAUCAUCAAUCGUCGUCGAGGGUGACGAUGGUCGGGAUUUGGCCGUGAUUGACGAAGUCAAUCUUGUUCAGUCUCACGCAGCAGAGGACCUGCUCCGGGAGCUCCUCUUCCUUCUGGGCCUGCAUCAAGUUUCAAUCCAAAAAGAGUCAAUUGAGUCAUGAAUUCACCAUACACUGGCACAAAUUUAGGGCGCGGUUCGUACAAAAUAGGAACCGGAAUCAAAUUUCAAAAAUGUAGCAAAGUAGUUAUUACUAUCUCCAAGUUAAAUGAACCAAGAGGAAUAGAAAGUUUUCGAUGAAUUGUAGGCAAAACUUACCUGGAUUGUAAGACCCAAAUCAAGGAUUCCGUGCUUCAGACGUUCCCGAAAUGAUUCGAGUCCCUUUCUCGAGAUGUAGCUGAACCGGUGUAUGUCGAGGUCGAUCUCAAAGUAGUUAGGUCCCUGCAAGAAAUUGAAAUUUGAUAGUUACUCAGUUUUAUUGCAUCCUUUGUGCCCUAAAAGGAAAAGAGAAAAAAAAAAAAAAAACAAAUCAUUCUAAAUUUCGCUGGCAUUGUCGCAGUCAUUUGAACACACAUCUUGCUGUUGAUAAGAUAAUUUCCUUAACCUAAUUAUAUUUAGUUUGACUAUUAAAGCACUUAAUAAAUACAAUUAUGAACCUUAAGAUCUGAAAUCUCACAUAUUCCUUUCAGAAACUUAAUUCCUUACCUAUAUAUACCCUUGUAAUUACGAAAUUUCCUCUCUUUAAGAAACUUGUUCUAAUUUUUUUGCAUAUUUGCAGGGUUAUGUACGCACGCAAAGACGAAGACAAAAAGCCGUAGUAGAAUACUAUGCAACAAAAUUUUACCUUGUAGAAGUUGUGCUGAGGACGCGAAAGCACGGGCUUUUCUUUGUAAGAUUGAAUGAGCUUCCUCUCCGCGCCACUCAAAUGGAGAUCCUCUGGAUUAACCACCCCAGCCAUGAUCUUCAACCUUUCUCUAAAAGGAACAGUGGAUUCCUUUGCAAACCCUUUAACCUUUUCAGUUUCGUCCUCAAUAAAUCUCUGCAAGGAACUACAACCACUUAGUUCGGCCUCCAUGAAAAGUGGUUGAAUAUACUUACCAGAAAAGGAAAUAUAUAGUCAUUAGCAGUUAUUUUCAUGCAGUAGUGCAUAAAUAAAAGAAUGAAAAUGGAUUGGAUGGUGAUUGAAGAAAUACCAGUGUCGAUUUCGAUUUCCUGAAUAAUGUAGUGUAUACGAUAUUACGCGGAUUGGAAAUCUAUUUACUUAUGUACGUAUCUAGGUAAAAACCGUAUGAAUAAUGUAUCAGGAAACUAUAUACAUGUUAUCAAAUUAUCAUAUUGUGACGUAUAAUAUUGUAUCAUGCCUAUGGAUGUGGGUAUGUAUUCAGAUACAUGUCGGAAUAAGGAAGCCUAAUCCCAUAGCUAGUAAAACUCAUUUUGGAACAGAUGAUAAAUACCACCUCAUUUUCGACUCAUGGGGAGACAUACAGAUGAGUCAGAAGAAGCAUACCCUUAUCAAAUCCUUGAAAUGUGCAGAAACCUCCUUCUCAUAGCACUCGGAAAUUUUGAAGUACAAGACAAGGCUCAUUCCCUCCCCAUCACUAUCUCCAAGAAACAUAGCAGCAGGAUAAGUAGGCAUCUGUGAUGACAUAAAAUGAAUGAAGCUAUAAAAACUGAUUUAACCACAAAUCUUUUAUUUCUCUUUUUGCAGUCGACAACUUAACCAGUCCCUGGAAAUAUUGUGAUUUGCGCUUUAUCCACACUCGAUAACCAAAAACUAUGGAUAGCCACUUAAUUUAUCAGAAAAUACUGCACAUUUACCCCUCAGCAGAAGAGGAAAAGGCUAAAGUUUCAUACAUCUUGAGGGACUGGAGCACAAGUUGCGAUAUUUUCGGUAGUUUUCUAUAAAUUAGCUUUUCGUUAUUGUAUAAAUGUUCCCUUUGUUUCUACGUACUUGGAUGUUAACGAUUAGGAGUGAGGGAAGCUUCUCGUGUGGCUUGACAUGUGGAAGUUCGAUGUGUUGAGCAAUGUGAUGAAUCUUGCGGGGGCAUAUGAACAAAUCCACGCCAAUGGGAUAAUACGGGGCGUAAUUUGCAGCAGGAUAUUUCUUCUUGUCUCUGCAUUAUAAUUUUCAGGGAAAUACAUAUCAAAUCACAAAGUACAAGGUCCAACAGUUGAUUGUAAUCCUCCAGAGAAGGUAUACAAGUUAUGUUAAAGCUUAAAUUCAUGCCUGAAAUAACUUUCUCCGCGAAGGUUGAAAGUAGAAGGUUCAAGAGCAGACCAGCAACCUGCAGUUGGUUUUUCUCCAGGAGAACAUGGAAUUACAUGACCGGCCCUCGGAUGAUAUAAGAAUUGCUUUGAGGCACCUAUGCACCAAAAAACAUCAAGAUCAUUUUAAUAAAGGAUUUUUUUUUAAAAAAAAACCACUGUAAUUUUGCAAACAUGCACAAAUAGGCCUGCAUGUUUUUUUGGAAUUCAUGCCCUUGAAAGCUGUCUUUAAUUGUAUUCAUGCACCUGCGAGGGGAGUUAAUGCAACAAUACAUUUGCAUAGAUAACCACGGCUGUGGCGUGUUCUAAGCAAGGUUUUCAAGGGUACACACAAGUAGAAAAUGAAAACUUUUAAACUAGGUUCUAGAGUCCAUUAUUUUAUAUAUAAGGUUCUGAUUUGGAUGAAUAAACAGUGCAACAAAAUCUGAAGAGAAUACAAAGACAAUAAAGAUUGUUGUUGUAUUAAUCAAUCAAAGAGAAAUGUAGAUGUGCUACUAAAUGUUGUAAAUGAAAUCCUAAUCAAGAAAGCAGAUAAAUCUAUUCAGAGACAAUCCAUAGUGAAGGCCAAUAUGAACAAUAGAAGAAACUUUUUUAUGAGGCGUAACGAGAAAACAUUGCGUUCCUUUCAAAAGGAAAAUCUUCUAAAAUAUAAAGAUGAUCAUACUUACAAUAUUCAGUUGUUUCUUCUCCAUCAAACGACUUCCUCUUAUACGAAAGCCUAAUUACAGCUGAUUUUCUUUUCUGAGACGUCGGGCUGGCACUAGGGAUCUGGUACAUUUUAUCAUUGAAACUAAGAGACGAAACUAACUUCUUUAACCUUGACGGCAUCUUGCUUUCAUGAGACUUUUCUUCUGUCUCCUUUCUCACUUUCAAACCUUUAAAGCUACCAUACGAAUCGGCUAAAGUUCUUUUCUUUUUUGUCAAGAAAUCCACGUUUCGGCUUUUUAAAGUAGCCUCAUCAGCUUUUCCCACAAGCUCGCAACCUUGUGGAGUGCUUAUCAAUGCAGCUUUGUUCUCAUCUUUAAGCUCAUUGUUGCUUAGCGGCUUUUCAGGUUUACCUCCAUCUCUUUUUAAGUACUGCUCGAUGGCCAAUGCUAUCGGAUCGUCAUUUUGGAACUCAUCAAACUUGCACAUUGCACCGACAAAUCGCGAAGCAUUUUCAUACUGCAUCAUUUGAGUUCCGAUUGCAUUUACGGAUGGAAAGCCAUCUGCAUUUAAAUGGAAAAAGAUCAUAGAAGGAAAUUAGAUAGGCAAUAGUGUGCAAACCAAUUAUCCAAUUGACUAUGCUAUGUUGUUCUAGGGGCUACAAAUUAAGCCCCUAAAGAUUGGCCUAAAAUUCAGUUAUGUCCAAGUUUCAAUUUCACCAAUUUAGUCCUUGAAAGUUUGGUCUGACAACAGUGCUAACGUGGCAUCUUCUUGCGGAUAGUAGAGUAACCGAAAGACCAAGUUAUUAUGCAAAACUAUGGGACUACAUUGUUAUAGCUGAAACUUGAGGGCAAAAAUGAAAUCUUGGGUCAAACUGUCAACGACUAAAUUUGUAACUAACCCAUUUCUGUACCUCCAUGAACACUGCUGAAAUCAUCAUCAGAAUCAGAUUCGAGAAUACUGACAGAGUCGAACCAGACAUCUUCUUGGCAUAACCCUGCAAACAUUUAAGUCACCAGUAAAGGAAUGCUUUUUUGCAUCUUCAUAACAAAUUCAAGUAGUAAAUUGCAAAACAAAAACGUACACUAGAUAAUGAGAAGUGCAAAGCAACUACACUUAAGUCUUUAGCACAGGAAUAAUAUCGUGAACUUGUGGUCAGAUAGGUAAAAUAACAACUGCCCCAUGCUUAGACCGGUGUCCUUCUCUUUAGAAUCUAAAUUGCAGGAAACCUCCAUCAAAAAGGUCAUUUUGCCUCCCUGAAAUAUUGAACCUAAAUACGACAGUAACGACACCAUUAGUUUAUAAGAUGUCAUCACUUUGUCUCCGUCGUCAACGUUAUUCCAGGCAAUAUUUCUCACUUUGCCCAUAACUUUCAACGGGGGUUAAAAGGAUGGUUUCCAAAUUUUAGAAGAGCAAUGCGACAGCCAUGGAAUUUAAGGAGUGUUUCCUGCAAUUUUUUUUUUAGCCUUCUCUAAAUCAACGAGUAAAACACAUCAAUAGCUUUUCCAUGAUUUUAAGUGAAGGAUAUUAUAAAAUGCACAAGCCUAUAUAACUUUUCUAGCAAAAAGAAUGAUUUAGAGAUGGUAUCAAAAUUUUCAAAACUUUAUCGAAAUAAAGAUAUGAAGUGAGUUACCAUGAGCAUCCAUCUGACUAUGAUGCCAUUGCAUCUGAGUGAGGUGGAAAGUCAAAUUGGAGACCUCCGUCUUCCUUCGAGUAGUCGCAUUAGUCUCAACAUGAACAAACUCGCUGAGAGAAAAAUCUCUCUGCGUUUUAUUCGCAUCGCAAACUGCAGAGGAAAUCUUUUUUUUGUGGCAUUUCCUCGACUUGACUGGGAGUUUCUGUGCUCGGUAUUUGCCGUUUGAUUUUGACACGCAGGCACCCAUGGUGAUCGUUACAGCUACAGACUGCUCAAUAAAUAGCGAAAAGUUCUUCAGAAAUUAUACAGAUCUCUUAGAGAAAAUAAAAAGGUGGCUUCCAUGAACCUGCUCAGAGAAGAGUGUGACUAGCCGAUAAAUAGAGAUUUAAGUGAUUUAUCAAUGAUAGAUACAGAUCAAGUCAUUUGUAUGAAACAUAUUCGAUGUAUUAAUCGUCAUUCGUCAAGCUAACAUAUAAAUAUAUUACUAACAAUGAAUUUCAAUAGUUUGAACACAUAAGAAGGUUUUAGUUCAUCUACAAAAAUUUUGAGAAACAGUAUUGCAAUUUUUUUUUAAGAACAUUUAGAGCACUUAUAAAUUAUAAUUCAGGUCCUGAUGAAUUUUUCGUCAACUAAGGAACUUAAGUUUAAAAAGAGAGAGAGAGAGAGAGAGAGAGAGAGAGAGAGAGAGAGAGAGAAGGUAAUUAUUCAGUAAAUAAGGUAUGAUGAUCAUGAUAAAGAAGUUGUAUCUAUAUUACACAUUUACACCAUAUCGAAACUAACCGAGAAUCAGAUGAUGUCAUAUUUUCUAAAAUAGAUGGCUUCCCUGUUUUAUCCUCAGAUAGCAAGUUCCCCAACAACUUUAGUAUAGAAACAUAAUUUACUCACAUGAUGAUUUACAAAUAAGCCCCUCUUCAAUUGGAAAAGGAAAAAGUAACAUUACAAACAGAAGCUGCAAUAGGAGUCAGAAAAUAAUCGCCACACAGCCAAAAAGAUUAAGUAGAUAAGACAUAAUGGGUUAGUCGAAUAACACAGCUCCUGAGUAAAAAUAAAAAAAUAAAAAUCUAUGAAUCAUAAGAUACGUAAUGUGAAUAAUCUAAGUGAUCAAGAAAACAUAAAGAUAAAGAUAUGCUGGAAAGGAAAAUAUUCUUGCUCCAACUUUGCUUGUGCAUCCAGCUUAUCCAAUACGAUACAAUACAUAAUAUGUAAAACUAAUCUAAUAUAACGACUAAUUAGCAUCAGAAAUGAACCAAAAUCGAAGCAGAAACAGCUAGAGAUCAGGGUUUCACCGCGACUGAUGCGCAAAGAUGUAAGUUCGAGAUGAGCACGCAGCUAAAGGAGGGAGAAGUUCCACUCAAGCAACAUUAAGAGACUCAAAAGGGCCCAGCCAUUCCCUCUACAUGAGAAAUACUAGUAGAGCUUCUGAAUCAUCAAAAGAGAUAACCAUAAUUAAUUUGGCUUGUUGGUAGCAUGGCAUUUUAAAAUUAGAAUGAACUAAAAUGAAAAGGUGAAACUAAAAUAUCAGCUAUCAUACUCGAGAGUGAAGGUUGCUAGUUAAUUUAAAAUAAGCAUGUAUGAUUAAAAAAUUGUCAACUACAUGUUAAGGAUGCUGCAAAGAACCUUCUUUACACAGCAACAAAUAGAUUAUAGUUUUCUUAAUUUCUACAGUAACAUGCAAAAGUAGAUACUUUAAUAAAAAAAUUGAGAGCAUUAGAAUUGAAGCAAUAUAUAUAUAUAUAUAUAUAUAUAUAUACAUAUAUAGAGUCCGGCUACUAUGCUAUUAAUAGCACGAAGCACUUGGUGCUACCAAGUUUUCCGCCGUUAUAUAUAUAUCUGUGAGUGUCAACGUUUUUUUUAUUAAAUUACCACAAGCAUUGAUUCUACAGCCAAAUAAUAAAAUGAACAUAAAUAAUUUUCAGUAAAAGAACGUAAUGAGAGAAAUUGCCAAAUAUAGAAACAUGGAGCUUUUUGUUUCAUUUUUAAGAAGGGGUCAUUACUUUAAUUAAUAACAAGAUAAAUUUAUAUAAAUCACGUAUUUACAUUACAUACUAACCCAAACAAAAACUUCUCUCCCUUUGCAAAACAUGAAGGCUAAAUUAUAAAAAAGUCUGCUUACACCUUAGUCCCUGUCUUAAUUAUCCCCUGCAUUAAAAAUUGCGUCAAUUACCUUAUUGCACUUUGCCACCAUCACAAAUAGAUCCAUAAAUUUAAAAAAUUGGCAAAUUACAUUAUAAAACUUCACUAAAAAAAAGUUGGCAUAUCAUAUUAUUUCACAUCUUAAUGCCUAUUUACUUUGCAACUCAAAAAAUAAAUAAAAUAUUUAGAGAAAAGAGAUCUCCUAUGUUGCUAAUAUUAUCAAAAUUGAUAGUUUAUUGAGCAGUUUCAUUCAAAUCAUAUAAUUCUACUGUAUAACUUAUAGGCAACUUCAAUUGCAAACUAAUUUUAACAAAGUUUUAUAGCUGAAUUCAACAAUCAUCACAAAUAGCUGGACACAUUUCAGAUUAUGGUAAAGUGCAGGGGAUAAUUUAAGCAAUUUUUAAUGCAGCUAUAUAAUUGAGACAGGGUUAAAGUGUGAAAGAGACUUUUUAUAAUUUACCCAAACAUGAAUUUCCACAUACUUACGCCCCUAAAAAUCGCCCAUUCUUACAAAAAAUUCCAAAUUCGAAUUUCUCAGGGGCGUGUAUAUAUUUAAAUAAUUAUACCACCCAAAUAGUAUCAUUUUUUUUGAAAGAUUAUACCAAAAAAAUUACCCCACCCCAAAAAAGAAAAAGAAAAAUUCAUCUUUGAACAAAGAAGAGAUCAAAGAGAGAGAGAGAGAGAGAGAGAGAGGGAAAAAAAUAAAGAAAAAAAAGAAACCUGCUUUUUUAAUUUGAUCGGAGGUAGUAUCCCUUCGCGGAGAUUACAUCGGGCGAUCCAUAUAACAAACAAUGUGCGAUGUGGAUCAUAGGAAAUCAAAAAACAAACGAUCUAUGAAAUUAACGAGAAAAAUGGGUAAAAAUAUGGGGGGAAUUGGGGAGGUGGGGUUUCCUCGGAGAUGUCUCUCCCCCACCCUCUCGCUUCGAUCCCGGAGAGGAUAGAGAGAGAGAGAGAGAUGAGGACGAAGAAGAGAGAUAUAAAGAGAGAGAAAGGAGAGGAGAGGAGAGGAGAGAGAGAGAAGGGUCGUCGCCAUUGUUGCUAUAUAUAGCUUCUUGUUGGGGCUUAGACCACCUCGAAUUGAGGGAGAGAGAGAGAGAGAGAGAGAGAGGAGAGAGAGAGAGGUGAGAGGAAGAGAGAGAGAGAGAGGGGGGUGGGGGGCUAGGGAUAGAGAGAGAGAGGGGGGAGCGCGCGCGCCGCCACGUGGAGAAGAGUGAGUGGCGGAGGAGGAGGAGGAGAGAGAAAUAUAUUUAGUACACCGAGUGUAUGAAAUUGGUCCACUCGGUACAUAAUAUUACAUCACGUGAAAAAUAGUAUUUUCUCAUACGCUCGUACACCCGGUUUUAAUAAAAUACUAUUCUCCACGCCACAUAUUAAAAAGUUUGCGCCUUUUCAUUUUAAGGUUAAUGUUAUACGCAUAAAAAGUUCUAACAUUUUCAAAAUAUAUUUCAGUCUUUAGUAUCUGCUAAAAAAAUUUAGUUAAUCAUAAGUUAAAUACUUAAUUCUAUUUAAUUUUUGACAUUUUAACCCUUUAUAUUAUAUUGUUAUGUCUUUUAGAGGAAUAUAUUUGUGAAUGGUAAAAUUAAAAUAUAAACAGUUCUUUAAUGGAUAACAAACCAGAUGGAUAUAUUCGAAAACAUCGUGACUUUUGCAAUAACAAUAUAUAAAAGUUGAAUUUUGUAAGGAUAUUUUUUGCCAUUCACUAUGUUUGUAAGGACAUGUAUAAAAUUGACCAUAAAAUACAUACCUUUAAUAUUUCGUGGUUUUAUUUUUCUCUUUCUGUUAUUCCAUACAUUAAUUUAAUUGUUAAAUCAGUGACAAAGUUAAAGUCACAAGGCCACUAAAGUGAAAACUCGGUAAACCUCAGGGUACACUACAAUGAAUAUUCAAGAAAUUAUAGAUGAGAUAUCUGAAGUUUUUUGUAUAUAAUUUAGUAGAGAUUUAACGGUAGUAAUCACGAAAAGAAAAAAAAGAAAUCACACAAUACUAAAAUAACCCUUUAAACUACAGGAUAUUAAAAUAAGAAAGCGCGAAACCAAAGAAGUGGUAUUUGAAGUUUACCCUAUUAAAAAUGCUACUCUCUGGUCUCUAUCGGAAGUAUGGGAGCGGUAUUAUUAAUAUAUCCCAUAGAGAUUAGUAUUUUAUUAAGGGUUAUUUUUAUACAAGUCCCUGUAAAGAUAUGAAAUAGCAAAUAUAUUUUUAUAAAACUUAAGUUAUCAGAUUUAACCUUUUCAAAAUUCUCUAAUUUAUAAAUAUAUAACUCUAAAAGUUUUGAUUUAUUCAUAUAUGACCCUAUUGUUUGAUUUACUGUUAGCUUUUUAACGGUAAGUGCAUAAAAUAACUAUUUUAUCCUUACAAAUAUGUUAUCUAAAAAGUUAUCUUUCUUUCGCUCUACUCGCCUUCACUACAACAUACCUUAUUUUUGCCGCGAUCGAGAGCCUUGCUUUGGAUGUCGCCGUCACCAUGGAUAAAGCUGAGAGGAUAAGAAAGAUGAAGAAACUCAAUAUUGAAGUACAAAUUAUAUAUAUGUGUAAAAAGAUCAUUUUAUCUCUUAAUCAACUAUAGUUAGUUUUUUUAACGCAUGAUUAUCUAAAUAAUUGUAAUUGAAGAAUAUGUUAUUAUUUGUAGAUAAUAGGACUUUUGAAGGGAUAAAUUUUAUAGGUUAAGUUUUAUAUGAAUAUAUUUGCUAUUUGAGACUUUUGCAGGGAGCUAUACGCAAUUACCCCUUUUAUUAAACCGGGUGUAGGAGAGUAUGAGAAAAUACUAGGAAUGCAAAUGGGAUGGAUCUAGGGCGAGAGGGUUCCCCCACCUUCUGCUCCAUUUUUUGUCGGGACUGGGCGGAUUCUGAACGAGUUAUUUUUUAUUUUAUUUUUGGCUCCCACUUACCGUCCCAUUCGGGACGGUUCGGGAUGGGAGUGGAUUUUGGCGGAUUUUGGUGGAUUGAAGGAAGAAAACAGUCUCCCACCUCCCGCUUCAUUUAUUUGGCAGAUCGGAGCGGAUUCGGGAAGAGUUAUAUUUUUUUAUAUUUUUUGUUCCCACUUACCGCCCCAUUCUGAACGGAUCCAUUUGCAUCCCUAGAAAGUACUAUUCUCUACCCAAUACAAAUAUGAUACACCCGGUCCUAUAUCGUGUAGAAAACAGUAUUUUUAAUAUUUAUAUAUUCAACAUUAUUUUACGUGUGCUGAUUCGAAAUGUUUUGAUUUACUUAAAAUAUAAGCAUAAAUUAAAUAGAAAAAAUUAAAUAACGCGCUUGAUGAAUCUUGCUAAAUUUAAACUUAAUACUAUAUUAAAUUAUAUGAAUAACUAUUAUUGUUUUUUUAAGAGACAAUAGAAAUUAUGUUAUAAUAAUAAUCGAUUCAUCACGAUCUACGUACAAAGUCUAAUUAAUAUUAUUAACAAAAAUAAACAAAAUAUUUUUUCUCAUAUUUUCUUACUGUACGUAUUCUCAACAAUUUGAAAUUAAGACGGUAUUGAGCUUAAAAUCAAAAUCUAACUCAAUAAAUACGUUCUAUCUCAAGCCUAUAUAUUAAAAAUUAGAAAUUUUAAACACUUUUUUCUCACGAAUUUCAUAAUAAUUUUUCUUCGGCAUUAAUUUUUGAGCAACCUAUUUUAUUAUACACAAGAUUUGAAUGGUGAAACUUUUUUUUUAUUGAAAAAAGAUGUAUUCAAUAAGAUAUAGGGGUCAUACGUAUAGAUUAUAUUUAUCAAAUUGGAUUUCAAAUACAAUAUGCAGUGUCACUACAACAGAAUUAGGUUAUAGAGACACAUGUUUGGGACACUUUUGAGUAAGUGUCCCAUUUAUCCUAAAACUUAAAAAAAUAUCUACUAAUACCUAAAUAUAAAGUCCAAUCCAACCAAAAAUAAAAGAUUACUCUACUCAACCCAACACACCCAGUCCAUUUGGCCCGCUUACAAACAGAAAAGAAAAAAAAAAAGAAAAAUCAAUUACCUAUUUUCUUCUCUCUUUACUCAAUCCACUAAAAUUCUAGACGAAGAGCCCUUCCUGUCGUCCUCCUCCGUCACCGCAGCCAACGAGAUAGAGUUUCGACGGUUGCUAAAUGCUUAAAUAAGUAUUGGUAAAUUAGCAGCACUCUUUUAGGUUAUAGCGACACUCUUUAACUGUCACUAUAUACCUAGCGACCCCACAUAUAGCAACACUUUUUAAAAAUGUCGGUAAUUUUAGCUAGCAGCACUUUUUUGACAUGUACCUACAUUUAAAAGUGUCGCUAUAGACCGUUUUUGUUGUAGUGUGUAUCAAAUGUACGUAUACACUCGGUGCAUGUAAUAAUUUUUCCGGAUAAAAUUGAAGAGAGAGAAGUAGGUUGUUAAUGGAUACAGAUACUUGAAAUUUAAUUUGAAACCGAACCCAAACGGAGUGAAUUUAUCCGAUGUUAAAUGGAUAGAGUUUCAGACAUGGAUAUCAAAAUCGAAAAUUCAACGAAUUUGGAUUUGGAUAUGAAUUUUGAUUGUACCUGAUCCGAACACAACCCAAACCCGACCCAAACCGGCCCGAAGUUAUUUUAUAUAUAAAUGUUUAAUAUUGUAUUUUAAAAAUUUAGAUUUAAUGUAAUAUAUUUUGUAAUAUUAUAAAAAGAAAUAAUUAUUUUGAGGUUAGGAUUUUCGGGUUCGGGCUCGUAUUCAGGUUUCAAACUUUUGGUAGGGUUCGAGUUUGGACUUUGGAUAUGAGUUUUUAAAAUCUGACAAAUUUGGAUUCAGGUUGGAUUUCGAAUUUAAUAGUUGGAUUCAGAUUCGAAUUUUUCAAAAUCCGCUCUAAAUUCGACCCGUCCCUGGAGAGAAGGGUUUCUCAUCCUUUAAUUCACUCCUACUAUGACCUGUAUGUAUUUGACUUUCUAUUUAUUUCCUCUUCCUAAUAACUCGAGGAGAUUUGGAGGUAGAAGGGGGAGGGAGAUUUUGCAUGUCUAGACCUCAAAAACUAAUUAUUUGCUCUUUUGUAUUUUGGAAACUAUAAAAAAUAAUGACAAUAUUUCUUCUUUCCAUAAAAGGAAUAUUUUAUGCUGAUAUGCAAAUAUCAGUUGGAGUGCUUUCAAAGUAUACAAUUUUAAUUUUUGGGUCCUUCAAAUAAUAACUCUAAUAAAAAAUUAAAAGUAAAAGAUAUUAUUUUUAAAAUUUUUAUUUUUUUGUAGCCAAACAAAUAAUUUCAAUAUAAGAACGGUAAACAAUCCACAAUCUCUUCCUAAAUUAUUUCUUAAAAAAAAAAUGAACGAAACAAAUAGCUUUCUAUGUCAAAAAAAAAAAAAAAAAAAACUCUUCUCUUGAGCAGCAAAAUUACACAACUCUAGCAUUAAAAUCACCUCCCCCAAUCAAAAACUAAUCAAUCUUAAUAAUUCAACUUACUCUAUUUAUGUCCAGCUUCACAAUCUCACAAUCUUUCGCAGAAAACAAAAUAAAAAAUAAAUUGAAACAUAAAGAAAAGUGCUUCUAAAGCAUCAACCUAAGCCAAAGAGAGGUGCUUAAUUUUCUCUCAAGCAUGCAAAGCACCCUUUUCCUCUGCUUCUAAGCCUUCAUACUGAGAUUGGCUUCUCACACAGCUCCUGUAAAGCAUGCAAGUGACCACAGUAUCAACAACAAUGAGGGUGGAGUACAUGUAACCAAUCAGCAAUCCUUCGCAGAGGGUCGAGGCGCCGAACCCGGGCCUCGCCACUCUGAGUCGGAACAAGGCUUCGAUCGCAACUCGGCCCAGGGUUGCGGGCAAGGCCACGGCGAUUGCGGUCGCGGCGCGCCCCUUGAUGAGCACAAGUGCUCUCAGGAAAGCCACACAUCCACUGCACCUCUCUUCCAUGCAUGCUAUCACUAUGGCCAUGUUGCAUGCUAUGAUUGUGUUGGUGAGCAGCACUGAGUAUAGAAUGAUGCCUAGGAUUGAGAAGGCCAGUGUGAAGUUGGCUGGAGAGAGAGUGAGGAUCUCCACAGUGCUGAAUGCCAAGAAUAAGAGAGAGAAAAUGGCGGCAUUCGCCGCGAGUGUCGCGAAUGCGGCGAAUACGUAGGUGCUGAGGAGAGAAGGGUAGAGAGAAAGCGGCGACAGCGGAGGUCUCCGACGAUAGGGGGGGUUGUUGUUUACGGCUUGGAUUGCGUGGGCUUUCGCGAGGAGUAGGAAGGUGAGGGAGAAGGGGAGGGUGGAGGCGAAGGCGAGUACGGCCUGCGAGAGCCUGAGGUUGAGGAGGGAGAAGAAGCGCGAGGAGGCGGGGAAGCCCGAGGCCUCGAAGAUGGCGUGGAGGCGGCGGGAGACGGCGGCGGAGGAGGAAGAGAUGGCGGAGGAGUGCGAGAGGAGGGCGGCGACGGAGUAGGGCAAGGCCAGAAGGGCGGCGGCCGAGGCGGCGGGGUGGUAGUUCUUGAAGAAGACAUGGAUUGAUCUCCUUAUGAUCUUCAUUGCCUUCCCCAUUUUGUUGUUUUGAGUGUUUGUGUUGAAGGGUUUGGACUAAAUUGUGAGCUAGCCAAUUGGUUUGCUGUUUAAGUUUCUUGUUUUUUUUUUUUUUUUUUNUUUUUUUUUUUUUUUUUUUUUUUUUUUUGGAUGUUGGGUGAGAUGUGGGAUAAGUCACCUGCUGUUCCAACAACUUGUUUAUAAAAGAUAAAAAGGUGGUGCAGUGGAUUUGUUAUUCUGAAUCCACCAAUAAGUUUAUUGGGAACAAACUUUAAAAGAGUGAUCCUUCCUUUGUUUUGAAGCAUUGUACCAAUUGAAGCACCCCUACAAUGCUCUUCCACAAGCUGUGGCCUUUUCUCUUUAACUUUUUAAGUAAUGAAGAUGAGAUGGGUCUAUCACUCUACUCAAAUCUAACAUGAAAUUAUUGGCUAAUCAUGGUCCACCACGUCAGCCACGGACCGUCCAUCUGCUCCCCUUCAUUUGUAACUAUCUUUAUCGGCUGUUGAUAUACUGAUAAUAUAUAAAGCAGAAGUAGUGCAAGAAUUAUUUGUUCAGAAUCUAAAGUAUUUUAUUAUUAGGAAUAGUUGAGUGGUGCCGAUAAAAAGCGGGGAUAAGAUGGAGAUAGAUGACAUUGGCUGGUCCACAGCUGAUGUGGUGGACUUGAUCAUCCACCAUUUUUUACUUGCAAAGUAUCUGGCCAUGAAUAUGGCAUGCAUAAACUUGGUUGUUUGAUUAGGAGAUUGUAACUAUAACUUAUGAUUAAACACAUAAGGAAGGGAUUAGAGGCAUUCGAGUAGCUGUUGUCGUACGAUUUACGAAUACUUAUAGUCCGAUUAGAGACUAAUAAAUUAAGUUGUUCAAAAUGAUUAGGUGUGAAAAGUAUCAUCUUUUAUAUGUACAAGUUUCUAAAAGGGAAUGGAUACCACAUUGCUAUAAUUUAAUUUAUUUACUAGUGUUGAGUUGGUAAACAAUGAUGUAUUUAAGUGGAGUUAAUUCCUGUGUAGCUGCUAUAUCCUUUACAACAGUGUAUGAUUCAUGGAUCUCUCUUAUAUAAUAACUUCUAAAAAUUAAGUUAAUAUUAUACAUUUUCAAAUUAACACUCAUAAGCACACUUAUAAAAGCAGCAUCUGUCACUUUUGAUCAUAUUAGAACUGUAAGUUAGGUACAGUGUUGAAGUCUAGUUAGGUUCAGCUUUUUUUAUGAAAAUUUUAAGAAGGGUAUAAUGCAAUUUAUUGCAAAAUUUUCGGAAUAAAAAUAUAUUAUACUUAUUUUUAAUUAUAUAUAUUGUAAUUGUAUUUUAGUGUAUAGAAUGUAAAAGUUAUUUUAGGUCCUAUUUGAAUUCAUGGAAAUUUUGUUCCUCAUAUCUCUAGAUUACUUAAGAAUUUUAUAAUAUUUUAUAAAUUAAGAGUGUGAUCAGAUGUCUAGAAUUAAAUAUUAUAUUCAGUUUUCAAGUUUUUUUUAGAAUAAAAUAAAUUAUCUCGUAGAUACAAUAUGUACUAUUCAACCAAAUUGUAAAUGUGAAGACAUUCUAAUAAAUAAAAAUUAAAUUUCUUGCUUUCAAUCACAUAAGAAAAAUUUUAUAAUGAAUAAAUUACCAUUACUAACGCAUUCUGAAGUUUAAACAAGACUUUAGUGCAAGCAAAAGAUCUUGAUCAUUUAUUAGCGUGUUUUUAUUUUGGCUAAAUUACAGAAAACUCUUUUAUGAAUAUUCGUUUUUUUACUUUUUCUUCCUAACUUGCAAAAACUAUAUUUUACCCACUCAACAUCUCAAGUUGUUGCAUUUAGCUCUCAUUCGUUAGUAUUCCAUCACUAUUCCGUCCAUUUCUUAUAAUUUAUAUCGAAAAUGUCCUUCAAAAUGACAGAAAUAUAUUAAAAAUUAUUUUUUUUCAUUAUAGAAGAAGUAAGGGUAAUUUGGUCAUUUUACCCUCUCCAUUAAUGCCGUAACCCCCUAAAAAUAUUUAUAAAAUUUUCAGGGCCCCUCUGGGAGGCUCUGACUGCUUCCAUAUUGUACACUUAGUUCAUUUUGCUUAUUGAAUGAAGCAGGUAGCUUGCUACCUUUUUUCCAAAAAAAUUUUUUUAAGGGCCCAAAAUAUAGGCUUUUGAGAGUUGGAGAGAAAAAGUGAAAAAUAGAUAUUCAGAAAAAAAUUUUCUGUAAUUUAGUCUUUUAUUAUUUUUUUUCUUUUUUGUUCUUUCCUUGAAGGAGAAAUUAUUUCCUACAAGCACACUCCCAAAUGAAGUACAAACUUUUAAUGGACCAAGUAAUAAUUAUGCACUAUAGGACUCUUGAAAGGGUUUUGUUUUUAUAUCAUUGCAAAGAUGUGAUGUCUUAAUUAAUUAAGUGAAAAUCAUUUUCAAGUUGGAAUAAUUAGUAGACCAUGGUUAACACCCAAAGUCAUGAUGCAAUAGAAAAGUUAAGAAUUAGGUUGGUGGGAUUCUAAGCAACAUACAUAUAUUUUGGGAUAAGACUUUUGAGAGCAAUACUUUUAGGUAGGUGGCAAAAAUCCAACCUAAUGGUCUCAUAAAACACAACAUUUUACCCAAACAUCUUUUAAGAAGAGCAAUGCUAAUAUUGUUGUGACCUCAAAAUAUAUCCUAAAAUAUAAUUGAUAAUUUAUAGCUUUAUAUUUACAAACAAUUAAUAAUUUAGUUUUUUUUUUAGUUUGCACUUUUGGUCCUCAAAGACUUGUUAAUUUAAUUUGUUGUGUUUCUGGCUCCAAAAUUUUAAAUUAUUAUAAUUAAGUCUCACAAUCUAAUUUAGUUGAUUAAAUAAUAAUAUUUUGCUAAUGUAGUAGUUGUGUGAUAAUAUUAUGUUUGUAAUUUAUAAUGUGAUAAUUAUUAAGAUGUUACAUUAUUACCACAUUAGCGAAGUAUCAGUAUUCGGUCAGCUAAAUUGUACUGUAAAUAAUUCAAAAAAUUUCAGCCAGAAACUGUAAAUUUAAGGACCAAAGUGUCGCACAGCAAAAAUCUAAUGAGGAUUAAAUGAUAACUACCAAACUAUCAGAUGUGUAAAACUAACUAAUUAUAUUUUAAAGUACAUUUUAAGGCAGCAAUAAAAGUUACACUUUUGAGUAAUUAUUCCUAAGGCCUUUGUAGAGAAGUUGGCAAUUUCUAUCCUAAGAUAGAGAAAUUGAAUUAAUUGAAAAAGGUGGACACACCACCCUUCUUUGUUUGCAGAAGUUGGUAGUGCCAUGAAAAAAACCUGCAUAAACUUAUUAGCACACUUAGAAACUAUUAUCUAUGCUUAGAUUCUAAGGAAGAGCAUUUCCCCCAUUGUGGUGGAACACUCAACAAACAAGAUUGAACUUCUCACCAUCUUUUGUCUUUUUGGUUUUUAUUUGCCCUUUAAGUUGGAUUAAUCAAUAAGCUCUAAAGCUCUUAUCUCAAGAUGUGACUACAUAGUCCACUAAUAUUGGCUAAAAUCAUCGGUCCAAAAUACUUAACUAAGUUAUUGGCUAAAAUCAUCGAUACAAUCUUCAGAUCGAUCAAUUCAGACCCAUUGCUGGGUAUAAAUAAGAUUAAACUGUUGACGGACUAAUGGAAGCAUUAUCUGUCAUUAAAUUUGCACCACUAUAAUCGCUAGGUGUUGUUGUUUUUUUUUUUUUUUUUUUUUCUCUCUCUUUCGAGGCCCAUAUUGCCUCACCUCUAUAGCUUAGUUCACUCUUUCAAUGAAUGAAGCAGGUAGCGCACUACCUAUUCCUCAAAAAAAAAAGGUUAUCUGGUGUAUUAGUUGUAUGUAUGAAUUUCGAAGUUUGUAUCCAAUGUAUAAUUAUUGAAGUGCGACAAGCUCCCUUCGGCAUGUCUCCAAGGUAGCACAAUGUGAACUAGGAAGGCUCUUAGAGAUCCAGCAAAUAGAGCAAUGCAGUAAAGAAAAGUGAACUAGGAAGACUCUCUGAGAUCAGCAAGUAAAGCAAUGCAAUGAAGAAUAGUAAAUCUCAGUGGAUCUCCUAACCAGCAAAAGCCAAGAUCGCGACCGAAUACGCCCCUACUUGUGCCAUGCAUGCGUGCAUGUGAUUAGUGGAUGAUACCACUCUCUUUAUCACCUAAGAAAAUAACUUGGAGAUAGUGGAGAAUAUAAACCUUACUGUUUCUAUUAAGUUUCCAAUCUAGAACUAAACUCAUGUAUAGUAACUUGAUACACAAGCUCGAAGGCAAAGUCUAUUCAGUUUUCGGCCACCCAAAAGGCCCAUGGGCCCAAAUAAAGUUACAAAUCAUAUUUAAAAUAAAUCCCAACACACGCAUAAUGAAAAACCACAAGAAGAGAAGGAACCAUUACCUUCUGUAAGGCGAAGAUCAAGAAAAUUAAAGCCAAUUUGAAUGUCGCUGCGGCGCCUCAAAGACGAAAUAAGAAUUUAGGAUCUGAGGACGCCAAAAAAAAAAUAUAAUGAUAGAGAAAGUUAUAACAAAAGUUGAUGUAUAAGAUUCAAGUCAUGCAUCGGCAAUGGGGAGCAAGAGGAGGGAGAGAUUCAAUUUAUAUUAUUGCUUUAUUGUAUAAAUUAAAAUUUGAGAACCAAAAUAUUACAGCGUUAUUGUUUGAGGUCCAAAGUGCAAUUUGUCCAACAUGGGUCCGUACUACAUUGUACGUCUUUUCCUCGUAUGACGUGGCACUAGGGAACGAGGACGCCCCCGUCCCACUGCGUGGGGCCACGUGGAACACGCACCUCCUCGCGCUCCCGCCACGUGUCCUCCUCCGGCUCCCCACAAUUUCCCACGGCACGAAUCUCAACGGCCGUGUAGUUUCAUGCCAUGAUGUCGUUAUGCGUGCGGGGCCCACCCCACUAAUGAGCUCAUUCCCAUAAUCCCAUCCGGGAAAAUUAUUGCGCGCACGCGGUGCAUACCUACAUCUCAUACACCGAUCCAUUUAAAAUCAAUCUCCGCGGCCUUAAAAUCAAAUUUUGAUUUAUCCAAAUUUGUUCUAUGACAUUAAAAACACCUUCGCACAAAGUAUAAUAAAUUUCGGGCAAUGCCUUUAUUACAAACCAAAAAGCGACUAUAUCUCUGCGUUUUUUAUUGAGGCUUAUAUAUAUUAAUAGUAUCAAGCGUUUGGUGCUAUUAGAUUUUCGGUUCAUAGAUAAAGAGAUAUACUGUUAAGAUGAUAGUAGUCCCUCAUUAGAAUAAUAAUAACUUUUUAGGAUUGAGUGUAUGGUUUAUUAAAUAGUAUGAUAUAACAGGAGGAAAAAAUUAAAAGAAUAGAUCUAACGGUGAAAUAUUCGAUAACAAUAAUCGUUUGAUACUAUUGACAGUAUAAUAUCUGAAAUAAUAUAC
rnacentral:lncRNA from 1 species